UAGGUACGCGGAAAUCCGUGUUUUACGGAACCGAAUUUUGUACUAAAAUUUUGUGCUAGGUUUUUUGAACUUUUUUUUAGGUAACGUCAGGCGAACGUUUUUUUGUGGCGUUUCUGUUUAGAAACAUUACUAAACUUAGAUUAUUUUUGAAAAAAAGAAUAGUUAAACUUGAUUAAUAUAUAACAUUUAUGUGUGGUUGGUAAUUUUUGUAUUGCUUUUAUUUGAAUUAAAAACUUGGUUGUUGUUCUCACAUUAAAUUAUUAUCAAAGAAAUGCUCAGAUAGUUUGCAAACCUACCCAGAUAGUUUUUUACAUAUAUUUUUUAUCUACCUACCAAAUUUCAUUGAAAAAUAUUAUUGAGCAGAUAGUCUAUAAAAGUGAGCAGUUUUGGUACCUCAUUUCUGUUUUUCUGAUUUCCGUAAGUGGGUGGUAAGAGGGGUACAAACAAGUUGAAUUUUAUUUGUGUGACUUGUUUAUAGUUUCUAAAAUUUUAUUGGUUUCAUUGAAAUUGAAAACAUAAGCGUUGAUUACUAUAAUUCUAGCUAUAGGUUGUGGGUAACCAUUACCACCCUAUUUAACAAACUUCUCAACUUAACCAAAAUUUAUGAAUAGCAGCGGAAAGACUUUUUUUUCAAAAGUAGGCUCAGUUGUGGUUUUUAUCUUUAGCUUGUAGGUUAUACUUGGUGCAAAAAGCCUAAUUCAGGUUGGGGGGGGGGGGCACACGCCCCUCCCACAAGUCAAUAAGCACACCACCAAUAAAUGAAUUUCUUGUAGCAAAAAAAAUUUUUACGUUUUUUAUACUGUAUACUAGUUUCACUUAUUUUAUUAAAUAUAGAAAAAUUUAUUUAUUUAUAAUUAGAGAAUUUAAUAUUUUUGAAAUUAGGGUGUGUUAAACCAUCACCACCAUAUCCACCACCAACUUUAAUAAACAUCAAUCAUUGAUGGUCUGGAAUAAAAUUAUAGCAAUUUUUUGUAUAAAAAAAAUAACCGUUAGUUGAAAAAAACACUUUUUAUUGAAAGAAAUAUGCUUAUUUUUAGGGUAAAGGUGGUGGUUCGGCACCCCCUCUAGCCCCCAGGAAACGCUUAAUAGGUGGACGAUGUUAUAAAUUUGUAGCCCACAGUUACACCUAUCUUUUGAUACUAAGUUAUAGGUAUUUAGACAAGAAUUGACAAAGUUAUAACAAUUUAAGUAAAGAAAAAUUAAAUUUUGACCACAGUUUCUU
rnacentral:lncRNA from 1 species